rnacentral:lncRNA from 1 species
AACCGUAAACGUCGAAAAACGACAGGCACUAAACACCGACAGUUGAUCCAAGAAACAGUUGAUUGACGAAACGCUCAUUUUAGUUCUCGGGCUCGUUCUGCCAAUAUCGGCGACGUCAAGGCUCCAUUGAGGCGACAACGCAGGCCGCUCUCUGAAGUGAGAAAAUAAAAAAAAAAGUUAGACGAUUCGCACGUAAUUGGUCUCUGGCAAAAUGGCGGGUUGAUGGAUAAUUAAGGAUUAGUUCUUCACUACACGGAAACAAACGUUGUAUCCGAGUCACAUGCUGCCCAUGGAGGGUGAAGACAUCGGUCGGCCCGACGAAACUUUUUCGCAUACCGUAUUAUGCCCAACAUUCGAAAUCGAGCGGAGAGGAUACUAAGAACGGCUUAAGUGGCGGGCAUAAAGGAUCUAUACGUUGAUUUAGUAUGAAAAUCACGUUGUUUGAAUGAAGGCAGUCUAUUUCUUCAAUAACAUAAUUUUGGUACAAAAUAUACGGGCAUCUCUUGUUGCUGCUGCUGCUACUCUAGAAGAUAACUUGAAGGCUAGAGAAUAAUGUUACCUGGACGUCAGACGACGAUAAAGCUUCGAUGUGCUCUUCAUUCUAAAGUAUUGGGGUCGGGACCACGAGGGAGCUGAAAACAAACGAACAAUUCUGUUAUAUUAUUGAAUAUGCGUAUGUUGGAAGAAGAGUCGCUCUAUGUGAUAGGCGGUUCCACUUUCAUUUGUUAAUUCCAAUUCAUUAAAAUCCUUUUAUAGCAUUGGAAAUUUAGUAAACCAACAAACGUGCUUUACAGACGCUAAUAUCACCGACCAUAGAAACUACUACAGCGAAAUAGCUAUCACGGAUACUCGUAUAUUUUACAUUCUCACAUUUUUUACGGUAACGAUGAUGGGAACUAUUUGCUAAAAACGGCGUUUUUUUUUUCAAAAAAUAGAAUCUGUGCCUUCGUUUGGCGCCUACGUCAUGAGUUACUUACCUGUGUUUUCUCCACGUUUCAUCUUGAAUUCCCUUACCAAUCGUACUUUGCUAGUUUUGAAAUGCUAUACAAGUAUUAUCUUAUACGGUCAUAAUAAGAUCUGCCGAUAUUUACUCUUAGAAGCUUUUAUUUGUCGUCUCAAAUCUGUUGCCUUAACUUUGUCCGAGUGACAAAACUACGCGGCUAAUAUAUGGUCACAAAAAUACCUCCAUCUUCCCUUGCUGUAUCGUAGCCUAUUUCACUUUUGCCUCUACUAUUUCCAAAAUACCUGGUCGACGGCCAAAAUAAACAGUCAAUUCUAGAUACAUGUAAUUCAUCACUGAAAUUGUUUAAUCUUUGUGGUCGGACCCCGUACCUUGCGACAAAGUAACGAUUAUUACGAAAAUAUACUAUGGGCCUCCCUCUCAAUGCUAUUGGUCUCUUAUUUAAUGCAGACUUAUUCGUUAGGUAAACAUAUAUUUAGAUUGUAUGUAUAUUAUGACUAGCGAUGCAGACGCUGGUAGGGUUGCGGUACUGAUGUUCUGCGCAACGCACUUUUAAGGGAGAACAUGACGUCUGACCGCAUAUAUAAGCUCUUCUAUAGGCAUAAUGGAACACAAAUUACCGUAUAACUUUACAUGAACCCCUUUCAAUGCGAUUUGUUCUAACUGCGUUGAGUGGAAUACUCUGUGGUAUUGGAAUGUCUAAUAGUAACUUAUUUAUUUUGUAGAACGGUCAUACAUUCAGACGUUCCCACGAUGCAGGGCCAAUAAUAUGAGCCCAACGUUAGGAGAAAAGUUAGGCAGACGUGGUAUAAUUCAAUUAUUUGUAACUAUAUGAUCAUUUAUUUCGUUGCGAAAUGUAUCAUUCUUUUUUUUUGUCCUGUGACGGUUUGUUAUUAUUAUGUAUGUAUGUAUAUUAUUAAUAAAUUAGUUAUUUUUAAACUAUUUAAACUUACAUAGUCAUAUCUGUAUCGCAAGAGACACAAAAAAGAUGAUAUUAUUGUUAGUAAUUAACAUGGUAUAUUAUAUUGAGAUACCAUUCGUGACCCACGAUUCCUGUCAAAAAGCUGUUCCGGGUGCAAUAGCUUUAUCUGUAUGCACCUCUACAAAGCUGAGCGGUAAACUUCCUGAUUCCGUGCCAUUUAACGGCGAACACAACUCCUAUUGUAGGCACGUAUUUCACCUAUUCUAAAGGGAACGCAAGAUCAUAACAAUAAACCGGCUUACCUGGGAUCGUCGAGGCAUGUCCUUCCGCUAGUGAGAUGAGGGAUCUACAAAAUUGCAUCUACGUACUAGUUUUUUAAACUCUAGAUUACCUUAACUGAAAUCGUUGGCGCAAUUUGACAUGCGAGAGCAAAGAAUUUGCCAAACGAACGAAGAAGCAAUAUUUUGAAAAAAAAAAUACUAUUAUUGCUAGCUUACUGUACACAUACUACCUUAUCAUUCCUGUUGUGUCGAGUAUGGUAAAAAAAAAUUGAUUAAAAUAAUAUGAGUUAGUGCAGAGUAUCGACUUAAUCAAGACUGUAUUGAUUUAAAAAAAUCCAAGUAAAUUAAUUACUUAGAUGAACCUUCCUUCAUCUGAGAACAUAUGCUUACUGGAAACAAACGAACGUCCAUUGCUGCACUGGAAAGCUUCCCACUUAAUACAUACUACUUGCGAUACAACAAUUAGUCAGUUCCGUCUACCUUCCAUUGGUAAUAUGUCUGACUAUCGAAACAAUCAGGAUCAGAUCGCCAUCACGCGAACACAAAUCGAAUAUACUCCAUAUUUAGGUCAUGUCUCAACAAUUGUUUAUCUGUACAAUUAAAAAUGAUGCCAGCAGAUGUAGAUCAGAGAUAAAAAGGUAAUAGAUAACGUGACAACGCACACAUGUGGGAUGAACAUCAACGUAUUGAUUUUUUUACUCGUUUCUAUAAUUCAUAUAUAGCUUCUCUGCAUAUAUAUAGCACAUAUAUAGCUGAUUGGAAUGGCGUCUAAUAUCACAAGAACAUUGCGUUCUCUCAUACGUACAAUUAAUAGAAUGUAAUAAGCAGCUGAUCCAAUCCCGUAAGUUCUAAACUGGCCGUUUCUCUUUGUUUUUAUAUACAACUAAAAUUAUUGUAACAUGCAGUGAUUAUUCCAUUAGUACCAAUAAAGGUAUCGAUUGAAGUAUUGCAUAAAAAUAUUGUAUGGGUAUUUAGUGUCAUUUAGUGGUUGGCAUAUAAAAUGUUUUGGAUUUGAAUCACUGGUACUUAGGGGUAACUUUAUUUCAUCUUCUGAACUCCACGUAGAUUUCAACGUAUUAGGCACAGACGCAUAAUAAUAGCUUCUUUUGUUUUUUUUUUUUCUUUAUCACUGCUAGCUCAAUUUAUUAAAAAACGGAAUGAUCAUUGCGACAAAAACAGAGAGACUAAAGAUGAAUCUUUCAAAGGCAAUACCAGCCGGCUUCAACUUCUAAUUGAAUUCACUUCUUAUCUAUCACCCUUGUUGGUAUUCGUGUACGUUUACUAAACCAGCAACUUUAGUAACGUAUAUGAGUACAAAAUGCAUAUUUCCUAAUAAGCAAAUUAUAGUUCAAAAACGCUGGCACACAAUGCCGCAAUGUGGUGCAUAGAAAUAUGAAACAGAAACAAGAGUUUGUACCACGAAGCGUUGCUGCCUCUAAAAGACAGCUCUAUUGACAAAAUAAAAAUCCACCUCUGACCACCUUUAACGAACCUAUUCUAUUCGUAAUAAUGAUGAAUAGCAACUUUCUCAGCUAUAGUCAGUGAUUCAUUAUAAUUGGUCAUUUGAAAUAUCAUUACGGACGCCACUAACUUCUGUACAACUGCUUUAUAACAAACAUUAAUAUAUAAACGAUUUCCUUCCAAUAAACACAGGCAAAAACAUAGCUUUCAGAAAAUCCCUGAUUUGCUUGUACUGCACAACUCAGUUGUCCGAUAAAUAUCUUGCCAUCCCCUACCUGCUCCUUAUGAAAAAUCACGCACAGAUUCGACGUGUUACCUCAGCCUUAAGGCUCAUUAGUAUCGCUGUACGUGAUCAACGUUCGGUUGAAAGACGCGCAUAAUGUCAUUUCCUCUAGACCGGGCGUAUGACAGACUGAAUCCCGACGGCAAAGAACAGUGAUAACAACAACUUUCAGAUAUCGUCAUUUUUUCGAUCAUAUCCUGCAGAGGUAUAGUUUCGCCGGUAAUAGCUCAAAGGCUACCGUAGCGACCGUUACUAUCCCAAUACUGAAACAAUAGGCAUGGUUUACUUGCACACAAACUUUGCUGUUAUAAGGGUUAUAGUACAGAAAUUCAAUGCAGUAUUAGAUGCUUCGACAAAAUUCGUUUCUAGUUAAUGUUGCUAUUUGAACGCGCCUAAUAAUCGGGUAAUAUAUAUGUGCUGAAGGAUGUCACUAUUCGGUCUGCCAUUGGCUAUUGGCCAAGUCACUGAAAAACUUCGAAUAAAGAAUUCGAAAGGUAAAUUAACUUACCAUCAUAACUGUAGCUGGGAUGAAAUUCGGAUUGAUUCCAGGCAUCCAUUUUUAGUCGAUUUGAGUGAAAUUUAGUAGUUUCAAGCUUUACUUAAUUAUAUGGGAGUUUGCGACAAUUUAAAAUUGAGCAGGACACAGGAAGUCUAUUCUCAGACCUAUCCUUUCUUCUAUUUUGGAUGUUUACCAGAUUAACCUAUCGAAAAGUCGCACAGUUUUUGUGGUUUCGGGCCGUAACACUCAGUAAAUUCAUCGUAGAGGAAAGUCGGCAGAAUGUCGUUUCGGUUUUAUCCAUCACUGAUGUACAUAGUCGCUUUGCUAGUGCUAAACCUACCUCCUCGUAUCUCAAAGAAGCAUACAUUUUCUUUAAAAAAUAUCAUUUCGAGCAGGAUCUUCGGAAACGAUUUCUAAACCUCGAUAGAUGUUAUUUCGUUUCUUCCACUUCACUGUUUAAGCAGGUCGAACAUCGAGGUACGUCUUAAGCACAGUCGAUGAUUACGACUACAGAGCCGCGACGGUUUGGCAGCAAAUGGCUCCACUAACCAUUAAUACUUCACUGAAUAGCGGUUACAAGGGUAACAAAACUACAUAGACAAUAUUCGUACGAUUCAGUUAUGGAGAAAUAAUGGCACAGUAUACCCGUCUUUCACGGGAACCGAACCUGUUUCGAGUGAACAGUCAGCAAUAGUGCUUCCAAUAACGGAGAACAGCGAAUCCUCCCCAACUCAAAGGUAUAAAAUAUUACACUUUUAUGGCAGUGAUCAGCUCAAAUAGAGCUAACAACGGUACGGCCAAUGAGAAACCUUUCGAAAAUGGUGGUAGUAGCAGCAGCAGCAGCAGCAGCAAGCUACGUAAAGACUCGUCCACAGACUGUAGCACACAAGCAAACGGCAAAAAGGUUCAGAUAUAAAUACAACGUUUACGUAAACACUGUAUGAAGCGGACGGCAGAGUCCUCUACAUCAUCCUUAUAGCCAAACAUUACUACUUACCUAACGUGGCCCAGUCCGCAGGACGCCCAAUACGUUUAGCCAGUACAGAGGACUUGGCCACGCGUCGACCGAGCUGAACUGCCGGCCACAAAAUCUACCCUCGACCUCACUUGAAUCAGCAAUGGUGAAUGGGGAAUUGCCGUUUAGCAGAGAGAUUUUGACUAAGAACAACCGUCGUGUACGACGGUACAGCUAGCCCGCAGCAAGUACGGCAUAGAAGAAUGAUUUUCGUGGAUGUUUCUGUGUAACAAAGUUACUACGGCUGCAUUUGACGGUUGUCAUUUCUAAAUUAGGAAACUGCAUGUGUCGGCUGCUCUUCCUACUGAGCCAUUGUUGCUGUUUGCAGCCACUAUUCACGGGAAUCGAAAUCUGCGCUCGCACCGAAUUGUUGCUUUGGGCGCUUAAAACUUGGUCUCCGGUCGCAGCUUUUACUAACGGAGUACGACGAUUGUUUUGGAUACUGUUGCUAUACGCGGUACUAGCACUACAAUCAUUAUGAUAGAACGUCAUAUACGAAGCGAAAAUAAUUAGCACACAAUGCUUUCAGAUUUUCGAGCGUCCGUCUCGUCUUGACACGCCGGCUAAUACAGAAAACGCCUUGAUGGUCGCGUGUUAGUGCUGUCUUUUUCAGCUCAGUCUUACUUGCUGUUGGUUUUUAGCUUUCGGAACAGCAGCAGCGGCAUUACUAUCAUAAUUGCGACCGUAUAUUGCACACUAUUUGUAUCGCUCGUUAUAGCAUCACGUGCACAACUACCCAGUACAGAUCUGAUCUGCAACAAGAAUUCGUUUCGGAUCCGCUCGGGCACUACGAGAGAGGGAACCACGUCGAUGAGACGCUUGGUGAGGGCCCACCCCAUGCAAGCAAAGGCGACAGUCAGCAAAACCUAUGAUAGCUACAUAUGGCUUUGCGGCGAACAUUGCAGUAAUAACAGAUACGACAUGAUAAUACGGGCGGUGGCGGGCAACGGCAGAAACACUAUUCGCCUACAACUAUACAUCGAAUGGCUUCAGCUCGGUUCAACUUAAGCCAUCUACUCGGCUCUGUAAAGAAAACAGCGACAACGGUAACAACGAAUAACGUAGAACCCAACGCCGAUGAUGCUAGCCUCAUUAGCUUUUGCCUCUGACAUGAGUAAGAUGUGC